GGCCCCUUUUGUCACCACGGGAGCUGCCGGUGCAUGAAGCCAUCCAGAGGCAGCCAAGAGAUGGCACCAGAGAUUCCUGGCGCCACAGCCCCUGGACUUGGCUGUGCCCGACGCCAGGGACAGGAGCCAAUAAAUCCCCAUGAGCCUUCGGGUCCUCGUCUGACAGUCAUGACCGCAGCAGCCGGGUGUGAGGGCAGGGCUGGGUGUUCGGAGACCUUCAGAAGCCUGGUCAUGGAGGGCCUGCCCAGGGACCCCCCUGCCUCUCCCCCCAGGCCCCAUGGCGGCAGAGACUCACAGGCAAAGAACUGCCAGGGCUGGUAGGUGCGGCCGAAGUCCAUGGACCGCUCCAGCACCCAGAGGUCCGGCCGGGACAGGGGCCCUGGACAGCUGUCCUCGAGGGCCUGGUGGCUGCACAGAUGGUCACAGGAAGGGAAGCCCGCGCUGGAGGACUCCCAUCUGUCUCUGACCUGGUUGCGGCUCCCAGGGCCACACCGGCCGCCCUCGCCAUGACCCGGAGCGAGCGCAGACCCCUGGCUUCAGGACCGCCCUUCCCCCUCCACGCCCCGCUCAGCUCAGCUGCCAGUGCUGACCUUUCCGCUGCUACAUAGUUCUGUGCAGAAAGAAAAAAAAAUUCUUUUAAAGCAAAAGCCAAACAAAA